GAUGAACGCUAGCUACAGGCUUAACACAUGCAAGUCGAGGGGUAACGAGAGGAAAGCUUGCUUUCCUUGUCGACGACCGGCGCACGGGUGAGUAACGCGUAUCCAACCUGCCCCCAACUAAGGAAUAACCUUGCGAAAGUAAGACUAAUACCUUAUAAUUUCCUCAGAUGACAUCUGACGAGGAAUAAAGAUUUAUCGGUUGUGGAUGGGGAUGCGUCUGAUUAGCUUGUUGGCGGGGUAACGGCCCACCAAGGCAACGAUCAGUAGGGGUUCUGAGAGGAAGGUCCCCCACAUUGGAACUGAGACACGGUCCAAACUCCUACGGGAGGCAGCAGUGAGGAAUAUUGGUCAAUGGGCGGAAGCCUGAACCAGCCAAGUAGCGUGCAGGAUGACGGCCCUAUGGGUUGUAAACUGCUUUUAUACAGGAAUAAAGUUAGCCACGUGUGGUUAUUUGUAGGUACUGUAUGAAUAAGGACCGGCUAAUUCCGUGCCAGCAGCCGCGGUAA
rnacentral:rRNA from 1 species